GUCCAGACUCCUACGGGAGGCAGCAGUGGGGAAUAUUGGGCAAUGGACGCAAGCCUGACCCAGCAACGCCGCGUGAAGGAAGAAGGCUCUCGGGUUGUAAACUUCUUUUAUCAGGGACGAAGCAAGUGACGGUACCUGAUGAAUAAGCCACGGCUAACUACGUGCCAGCAGCCGCGGUAAUACGUAGGUGGCAAGCGUUAUCCGGAUUUACUGGGUGUAAAGGGCGUGUAGCCGGGCUGACAAGUCAGAUGUGAAAUCCGGGGGCUCAACCCCCGAACUGCAUUUGAAACUGUUGGUCUUGAGUAUCGGAGAGGCAGGCGGAAUUCCUAGUGUAGCGGUGAAAUGCGUAGAUAUUAGGAGGAACACCAGUGGCGAAGGCGGCCUGCUGGACGACAACUGACGGUGAGGCGCGAAAGCGUGGGGAGCAAACAGGAUUAGAUACCCGAGUAAC
rnacentral:rRNA from 1 species